rnacentral:rRNA from 1 species
AGAGUUUGAUCCUGGCUCAGGACGAACGCUGGCGGCGUGCUUAACACAUGCAAGUCGAGCGGUAAGGCCCUUUCGGGGGUACACGAGCGGCGAACGGGUGAGUAACACGUGGGUGACCUGCCCUUAGCUCUGGGAUAAGCCUGGGAAACUGGGUCUAAUACCGGAUAUGACUCCAUGACGCAUGUUGUGGGGUGGAAAGCCUUGUGCGGCUAGGGAUGGGCCCGCGGCCUAUCAGCUUGUUGGUGGGGUGAUGGCCUACCAAGGCGACGACGGGUAGCCGGCCUGAGAGGGCGACCGGCCACACUGGGACUGAGACACGGCCCAGACUCCUACGGGAGGCAGCAGUGGGGAAUCUUGCGCAAUGGGCGAAAGCCUGACGCAGCGACGCCGCGUGGGGGAUGACGGCCUUCGGGUUGUAAACCUCUUCAGCCCU